rnacentral:rRNA from 1 species
UACGUAGGGUGCAAGCGUUGUCCGGAAUUAUUGGGCGUAAAGAGCUCGUAGGCGGUCUGUCGCGUCUGCUGUGAAAACUCGGGGCUUAACCCCGGGCCUGCAGUGGGUACGGGCAGACUAGAGUGCGGUAGGGGAGACUGGAAUUCCUGGUGUAGCGGUGAAAUGCGCAGAUAUCAGGAGGAACACCGGUGGCGAAGGCGGCGACCUGGGUCGAGACUGACGCUGAGGCGCGAAAGCGUGGGGAGCAAACAGG